GUCUACGGCCAUGUCACCCUGAACAAGCUCGAUCCCGUCUGAUCUCGGAAGCUAAGCAGGGUUGGGCCUGGUUAGUACUUGGAUGGGAGACCACCUAGGAAGACCACGUGCUGUAGGUG
rnacentral:rRNA from 1 species